rnacentral:rRNA from 1 species
CGGGUAGCGGAACACAUACACAACCUUCCUUAAAGUGGGGGAUAGCCCAGAGAAAUUUGGAUUAAUACCCCGUAAUAUUAUGAGAUGGCAUCAUUUUAUAAUUAAAGCUCCGGCGCUUAAAGAUGGGUGUGCGGCUGAUUAGGUAGUUGGUGAGGGUAACGGCCCACCAAGCCUUCGAUCAGUAACUGGUGUGAGAGCACGACCAGUCACACGGGCACUGAGACACGGGCCCG